UUGCUGUUAGGUAUAAAAUCUAUCUAUUAUUGUAAUACAGUAGUGUUAAAAAAAUCACCAUGUUCAUCGAGAGGGUCUAGAAAUUCCCACGUUAAUCGGAAAAAAGAGGAAAAUAUCCACCGUCGGAUUUUAUGAUGAUCUAACGGUCUAGACUAGCCCAAAAGAGUCCAUAUCAAAUACGAACAUAUUGGUAAAUUUGGAAUAAAAUAUGUGAAAAAAGAUACAUAACAAUUAAACAACUUGAUUUUCUAUCGUAACCGAAAUAAAAUAAAGACCCUCGAGUCCAUCCAAAACCAAUCAAGAUUGAACAUUUGGUUGAAAAAACAAAUUGACAUUAUAUCGCCCUUCUUCUUGACGAGACGACGCCGGUCCUCACCUUCCACAUGCCGCCCCUCACCUUGCAAGCUGCCACCAUGAUUAAUCCCAAGCCCCAAACAUCGUCAC
rnacentral:lncRNA from 1 species